rnacentral:misc_RNA from 1 species
GAUGAAGAACGUAGCGAAAUGCGAUAAGUAAUGUGAAUUGCAGAAUUCAGUGAAUCAUCGAGUCUUUGAACGCACAUUGCGCCCCCUGGUAUUCCGGGGGGCAUGCCUGUCCGAGCGUCAUUGCCGCCCUCAAGCACGGCUUGUGUGUUGGGCCCCCGCCCCCCGGCUUCGGGGGGCGGGCCCGAAAGGCAGCGGCGGCACCGCGUCCGGUCCUCGAGCGUAUGGGGCUUCGUCACCCGCUCUGUAGGCCCGGCCGGCGCCCGCCGGCGACCCCAAUCAAGCUUUCCAGGUUGACCUCGGAUCAGGUAGGGAUACCCGCUGAACUUAAGCAUAUCAAUAAGCGGAGGA